rnacentral:tRNA from 1 species
GCCGGCGUGGUCGGUUCGUUACUGCGACUGAAAAUCGCAGUAUCGGAGGUUCGAAUCCUUCCCUGGGCACCA